UACAGAGGUCCCAAGCGUUGUUCGGAUUCACUGGGCGUAAAGGGUGCGUAGGUGGCGCGGUAAGUCGGGUGUGAAAUCUUGGAGCUUAACUCCGAAACUGCAUUCGAUACUGCCGUGCUUGAGGACUGGAGAGGAGACUGGAAUUUACGGUGUAGCGGUGAAAUGCGUAGAUAUCGUAAGGAAGACCAGUGGCGAAGGCGGGUCUCUGGACAGUUCCUGACGCUGAGGCACGAAGGCCAGGGGGAGCAAACGGG
rnacentral:rRNA from 1 species